GUGAGGAAUAUUGGUCAAUGGGCGAAAGCCUGAACCAGCCAUGUCGCGUGAAGGAUGAAGGUCCUAUGGAUUGUAAACUUCUUUUGCAGGAGGGUAAAGUGAGCUACGUGUAGUUCAUUGCAAGUACCCUGCGAAUAAGCAUCGGCUAACUCCGUGCCAGCAGCCGCGGUAAUACGGAGGAUGCGAGCGUUAUCCGGAUUUAUUGGGUUUAAAGGGUGCGUAGGGGGACUAAUUAGUCAGCGGUGAAAUUUUGCGGCUCAACCGUAAAACUGCCGUUGAAACUGUUAGUCUGGAGUGCGGUAGAGGUAGGCGGAAUGUGUGGUGUAGCGGUGAAAUGCUUAGAUAUCACACAGAACACCGAUUGCGUAGGCAGCUUACUGGAGCGCAACUGACGCUGAGGCACGAAAGCGUGGGGAUCGAACAGGAUUAGAAACCCGGGUAGUCC
rnacentral:rRNA from 1 species